rnacentral:rRNA from 1 species
GCUCAAAUUUGAAAUCUGGCCCUUGGGUCCGAGUUGUAAUUUGUAGAGGAUGCUUUUGGUGCGGUGCCUUCCGAGUUCCCUGGAACGGGACGCCUUAGAGGGUGAGAGCCCCGUACGGUUGGACGCCUAGCCUCUGUAAAGCUCCUUCGACGAGUCGAGUAGUUUGGGAAUGCUGCUCUAAAUGGGAGGUAUAUUUCUUCUAAAGCUAAAUACCGGCCAGAGACCGAUAGCGCACAAGUAGAGUGAUCGAAAGAUGAAAAGCACUUUGAAAAGAGGGUUAAAUAGCACGUGAAAUUGUUGAAAGGGAAGCGUUUAUCACCAGACUUUUUCUAGGGGGAUCAUCCGGGGUUCUCUCCGGUGCACUUCCCCUAGUUGAGGCCAGCAUCGGUUUUCGGAGGGGGAUAAAAGCUUCGGGAAUGUGACUCCCUCGGGAGUGUUAUAGCCCGUUGCAUAAUACCCUUCUGGGGACCGAGGUUCGCGCAUCUGCAAGGAUGCUGGCAUAAUGGUGAUCAACGACCCGUCUUGAAACACGGACCAAGGAGUCGAACAUUUAUGCGAGUGUUUGGGUGUUAAACCCUCACGCGUAAUGAAAGUGAACGGAGGUGAGAGCCCUUACGGGUGCAUCAUCGACCGAUCCUGAUGUCUUCGGAUGGAUUUGAGUAAGAGCAUAACUGUUCGGACCCGAAAGAUGGUGAACUAUGCGUGGAUAGGGUGAAGCCAGGAGAAAUCCUGGUGGAGGCUCGCAGCGGUUCUGACGUGCAAAUCGAUCGUCAAAUCUGCGCAUGGGGGCGAAAGACUAAUCGAACCAUCUAGUAGCUGGUUACCGCCGAAGUUUCCCUCAGGAUAGCAGUGUUGUAUUCAGUUUUAUGAGGUAAAGCGAAUGAUUAGGGACUCGGGGGCGCUAUAUUGCCUUCAUCCAUUCUCAAACUUUAAAUAUGUAAGAAGC